GCCUAGUUAGCUUAGUUGGUAGUGCGUCUGCCUUGUAAGCGCUAGGCCGCGGAUUCGAUUCCCGCCCGGGGCG
rfam:Asian citrus Psyllid, Diaphorina citri - Florida Strain, whole genome shotgun sequence.